UCUUGUAGCUUUUGAGGGCAGAGAAUUUUGAGUUUAAUAAUAUUUCAAUUUUCAAAUCUCUUUGUGAGUAUUUGAACAGUUAAUUCUCGGUAUUCUGCGGAAUCAACGAGUCUUAACCCCUAAAUUCGCGGUAUUCUUUUGAAUCAACGUGAAUUUAAUUGUUCUUUUGUUCCGGUAUUCUCUAGAAUCAACGGAAUAUUUUGAACAUUAAACUCCC
rnacentral:lncRNA from 1 species